AGCACUCUAGCUAACCCCGUUGGCUCCAAGAUCCACCUUUUCUCCUGGAGUAAUAUGAUCAUUAGCGAACAACGCUCAGUGAGAAGCAGACACAGGGUGUCUCUACCCUCGUGCACGUAAGGGAUGAGACCGGCCUCUGCCAAAACUGCUUCCAGACUCAAGUUCCCACCUGCCUCGGGUUCCUCUUCACUCUGGAUGGAAACUCCCGUUUAAUCUCCUUAGUUACCCAGAUCUAAGGCUCCAAACAGAUACUCUCCACGUGAGCAGUGACCUUUCCAGAAGGUGGCACAUUCCUGCUCUCCUGCCUGUCCCUGCUGGCCUUCCUCCCCGACCUGGCCUUCAUUCACAGGAAGUGUAUUCUUUAAGCAAAGUAAGCCUGUCCCCAGACUACAUUUCAGGGACAGAUGGUGCUAAAUGUGCACGACAAUAACUGUGCAUUGCUCAAGAUGUCCGGGAGAAGGAGUCAGCCCAGCCUCAGCAUGGUCACCAGAGCAAGCUGAACCACCCUCUGCUCUCACUGCUCUUACCCCACCAGCCCUCCACAUGAGGGUAGGAGGUCUGGAGCUGUCUGCUUCACAAGGGUAAGUUCUGGAACAGGACAAUGCCAUUUCGAUAUGGUGGGCGUCAAAGCCUAGGGGUCCUGGGGCUCUGUUCUGCCUCCAGCCCACGAAUGUCCCAAGGCCAUGCGAGUUGCCCACAGAGCAUCCAUGGAUGCAGCAGGAACUCUUUGCUGGCCCCAACUGUGGCUCUGUGGAAGGCUUCUUUAGAGUGGGACGAGAGGAAUCGCGCUGGGGGCAGGUACUGGUUUAGCGUCCAUGACACCAGUGAGACUACGACUGCUCUUCAGGAACAACUCGUCUCUUCUAUUUUUCCUUUCCUGGCUCCUCUGCGCUCCUAUGGGUCAACCUGGAGACUACGCUCACAGAUGCCACUUGGGACUUUUCACGGAGCUCCGACCAUCACUGAAACUUUGGGGGUUGGUUUUUAAUCCACUGGGGGAAACACUGUGUGUUGCCUUUCAGAAUCAUAAUUAGGCCAUCUUCGUGGGGGUGUUUAUUUUCUUUAAAAUAGUGAAGUGUGGGCUUUCUUAGAUUGGUUGUCCCAACCCAGAAGCUUGUGCCAGGCUGGAGCGAGGGUGCUUUUCUGGUUUAUUUGUUUUCCUUAAGCUGGAAUGCACUGGUUUAUCUUAGACUCUUUUGUUGAUUCUGCUUUUUUAGUGUUGGGAAGGCUGGCUCUGGCUUACACAUGAAAAGAAAGCAAAUUCCUCAUGACUGGGGACAGUGUGACAGUUAAGAACAGAGACUCUGGUCCAGGCUGCUGCUGUUCAAAUGCUGGCCCCACAAUGGAAUGGCUGUGAAGCCCCAGGCAAGUUGCUCAACCUCUCUGUGCCUCUCUUGCCUCAUCAACACAAUGGGAAUAAUAAUAGUACCUACACCACAGAGUUUAUCAAAGCAUACUUUUCAAAAAGUUAAAACACUAUUCUCAUGUAAAUAUAGAGCGAGCACGAAUCAAAUACUUAUUUUAUUCAUUAGCAAGGGAACCAGCAGGUUGAGAACACUGGGGUUCACAGAAUAUGUGGGCUAAUGUGUAUAUAUAGUUCCAAGUUCAGGCAUUUUUGUAACAGGUGGUUAUGAGAAGACUGAAUCAGUACAUAUAUUUAUGUGUAUAUAUACUAACAACAUAUGUGUACGUAUGUAAUAAUAUAGGUAUAUAGGUAUGUAUGUAAUAUAGGUAUAUAUUUACUAUAUAUACUAUGCUGGAUAGAACUGAACUUGACACAUUAUAAGCACUACAUAACUUUCACCAUUAUUAUUAUUUUGUAACUAAAUUUUUCUCUCACUAUGUAUCCAUCGAAAAAGGCAUUUUUGUUGCUUUCAAUGUAAAUUGCCUAGAAUGAAUUUGAAAUGUGGCAUAAGAAGUUUCUAAAUGUCUAUUAAUAUUGUCUUUCUUUUUUAACUAGAAGAGAUAAAUCUACAAUUUUCCAUUUCUUUGAAAUGAUUAAUUCAUAUACUCAAGGAAAGUAGGUUAUGCAACUUAUUCAAGGAGAUGAAUCUUGAGAUGAACUUUUUUUUCAAGUGUAGCUAUAUGUGGUCUUUAGCUUCUCAAAGCUUUCUAAACUGUUAAAGGAUUCUAAUGUUUCCCAAAAGUCUGGAAGUGAGCCUUUGUGCUUGGUUUAAAUUUGAAAAAAAACAAAAACAAAAAACAUUUAGGGAACUCCAAAUGCUUAAUUAUUAAGGACAGACAGAGUAAAUACCAUAUGGUCAAGGUUGGACAAGGCUCUGCUGUCUUCCUUAGCUGGCCAAACUCCCCAGAGCUAAGGGUUAAAGCUUGAACAUCUUCCAGGUUAUCUUCUAAUGAGUAAAAUAUGCUGUUUGUGCUGGUCUUUAUAUACGUGACUUACUUUUUAAAUUAAAAAUACUCUCCCGAAAAGUAUAGAAAAUUUAGUUUCCUAUGACCCUCAGGAUUUCUUCCUGUGUUUUGUCUGGGUCAUUCUAUUACCGAUAAGCAAACUCACGGCCAAGAAGUUUGGCUUCCCAUGCUUGUGUUUAAGGGGUCACUCUGCCCAUCGCUCUGUGUCUUUAAUCCAUGGCAAAUUUCAAAGCAGGAGCUCAGUCCAGGAGCGGAUCAUAGAAAAGACUCAAUUCAUCUACACUGAAUGAACCCACUGAGAAGCAUUUAUCCAGAAAUCACUUCAUGCUUUCCUAUCAAUCUUCCGUACAAGUGGACAUUAACUGCAGAUAAUUUAUCCAGAACAGUGUCCCUCUGUGUUGGGGUAAAACUGGAACCUCUGAAACUAUUCAGUAGAACAGUAAAAAAUUUAAUGCGCUCUUUGGGUCAAAACAACUACUUUGCUCAUAAUACCUGUAUUUUCCACUUUGAAAAAGAUAUAAACUGACGCUCUGUGGCAGACAGACACUAACAUGACCUCCCAAGUGUCCUCACCUCUUGGUGUUCAUCUCCUUGUGUAAUCCUCCCUCCUUGAAUGUGGGUAGUAUCUGUGACUUGCUUCUAACCAAUAUUGCAAAGGUGACAGGAUGUCCCUUCCGUGAUAACGUUACAUAAAGCUGUAACAUCUACCUUGCUCGGCUGUGCUCCCUUGCCAGCUUUGACGAAGCAAGCAGCGGUGUCCAGGAAGCCAUCACACCGGAAGGAACUAGGAGCGGCCUGUGGCCACCAGCUAGCAAGAAACUGAGGCCCUCAGUCAAACAGCCUACAUGGAUCUGAAUCCAGCUAGCAACUAUGUGAGCUUGGAAGGGAAUCCUUCCCCAGACAAGCCUUGAAAUGAGCCCACGGCCCCAGCCAACCCCUUCACUGCAGCCAUGUGAAAUAGAAGACUCCUUUGAGUCAUGGCCAGACUCCUGCCAUAAUAAAUGUGUGUUGUUUUAAGCUA